rnacentral:tRNA from 6 species
CGGGGUGUGGCGCAGCCUGGUAGCGCACUUGCAUGGGGUGCAAGGGGUCGUGAGUUCGAGUCCCACCACCCCGACCA